GAUGAACGCUGGCGGCGUGCCUAAUAUAUGCAAGUCGAGCGAACGGACGAGAAGCUUGCUUCUCUGAUGUUAGCGGCGGACGGGUGAGUAACACGUGGAUAACCUACCUAUAAGACUGGGAUAACUUCGGGAAACCGGAGCUAAUACCGGAUAAUAUUUUGAACCGCAUGGUUCAAAAGUGAAAGACGGUCCUGCUGUCACUUAUAGAUGGAUCCGCGCUGCAUUAGCUAGUUGGUAAGGUAACGGCUUACCAAGGCAACGAUGCAUAGCCGACCUGAGAGGGUGAUCGGCCACACUGGAACUGAGACACGGUCCAGACUCCUACGGGAGGCAGCAGUAGGGAAUCUUCCGCAAUGGGCGAAAGCCUGACGGAGCAACGCCGCGUGAGUGAUGAAGGUCUUCGGAUCGUAAAACUCUGUUAUUAGGGAAGAACAUAUGUGUAAGUAACUGUGCACAUCUUGACGGUACCUAAUCAGAAAGCCACGGCUAACUACGUG
rnacentral:rRNA from 1 species